rnacentral:rRNA from 1 species
CCUACGGGUGGCAGCAGUGGGGGAUAUUGCACAAUGGGGGAAACCCUGAUGCAGCGACGCCGCGUGGGCGAAGAAGUAUUUCGGUAUGUAAAGCCCUAUCAGCAGGGAAGAAGAAAUGACGGUACCUGAGUAAGAAGCACCGGCUAAAUACGUGCCAGCAGCCGCGGUAAUACGUAUGGUGCAAGCGUUAUCCGGAAUUACUGGGUGUAAAGGGAGCGGAGGGGGCACGGCAAGCCUGAUGCGAAAGCCCGCUGCCCAACCGCGGGACUGCAUUGGGAACUACCGGGCUGGAGUGCCGGAGGGGGAAGCUGAAUUCCUAGUGUUGCGGUGGAAUGCGUAGAUAUUAGGAGGAACACCAGUGGCGAAGGCGGCCUACUGGACGGUGACUGACGCUGAGGCUCGAAAGCGUGGGGAGCAAACAGGAUUAGAUACCCGUGUAGUC